AUUGAACGCUGGCGGCAUGCUUUACACAUGCAAGUCGAAAGGUAACAGGUUAAGCUGACGAGUGGCGAACGGGUGAGUAAUGUAUCGGACCGUGCAGAGUCGUGGGGGAUAACGUAGCGAAAGCUACGCUAAUAGCGCAUACGAUCUCUGGAUGAAAGCGGGAGACAGCAAGGCACCGCGCGAUGGGAGCGGCAGAUAUCAGAUUAGGUAGUUGCUGGGGUAAAGGCCCACCAAGCCAACGAUCUGUUGCUGGUCUGAGAGGACGACCAGCCACACUCGGACUUAGACACGGCCCAUACUCCUACGGGAGGCAGCAGUGGGGAAUUUUGGACAAUGGGGGCAACCCUGAUCCAGCAAUGCCGCGUUCAGGAAGAAGGCCUUCGGGUUGUAAACUGCUUUUGUACGGAACGAAAAGGCUCUGGUUAAUACCUGGGGCUCAUGACGGUACCGUAAGAAUAAGCACCGGCUAACUACGUGCCAGCCGCCGCCGUAA
rnacentral:rRNA from 1 species